AGAAAAGAAAACUUUUCUCUGUGACUUUGCCACUUGUGCUUUUUUACUAGUGGUUAAAAUUCUGACUUUGAUAGACUCAUUAGUGUAUUAUUCUCCAUUUUCCUACCAUCCAAUAGCUACCUUUCUGGGUUUAUUAUGGUGGUGAAUCAGAUUCUUGUUUUAAUAUGGAGAGGACUAUGAAAUGGACUUUAAAUUUUCUUGUAAUUUUCUUCUUCGUUGAUAUAAAAAACAAUCAUGCUGCUCAUGUUGUUUCACGAGCAAAUUGCAUGGCCUUUUGUUGAUCAUGACCAGUGUUGGAUGGUUAAAUUUGGUUCUAUAAAUUUUGCAGGAAGAAGUUCAGUUUUUAAUGAAUCCUACAGUGAAUAGGCAUCCAAACUUGGUGAAACUGAUUGGUUAGUGCUGUGAAAAAGAAGUGAGAGAUGUGGUUUAUGACCUUAACCCAAAGGACACUUUGCAUAAUUUGACCCUAGCAGGUACAUAUUUCAAUUUUUUGAUAUUUUCAAUUUCAUAUUAUUGAAAUCUUUAUAAUUUCGAACCUUUAAUUUUUUUCUUCUCCUACUGCUUGUUAUGCUUUCGAUGCGCCACAUUGUGCAAUGGAUUUAUAUUGUUUUUAUUAUUGUGUUGUUUUAUCUUUUGACUGGUUGCUUCAAAAAGUUUGCAUUCUUGGAAUGUAUACCGAGUUGUGAGUUUUGAAAUGGAAGUUCAGCCAACAUAAAUAGUAUUUAGUAGAAAUUCAAUCUGUAUUUGGGGAUUGAGCUUUCAAUUCUUCUUUCUCCUAUUUGUUAUCCAAUUUAGUAAAACUACAUUUUUGAAAUUUUUGUUCUUGUUUUCAAAUUACUAUUAGGAUCGUGAUUUGUUAUGCUAGUAAGAAGGAAAAAAAUACUUUGAUCAAAUUGAGCCAAUUCUACACAAUUAAAUUGAAAGAUUUUUAGGGAAAACUUAAAACCAAAAAAGAUUUAGUGUUUGCGUGGAUUGACAUUAUUACAUUGCUUACAAUAAUAUUCUUUAUCUAUUUGGCAAGUCAACAUUGUCCUUCGGCCUCAUUUGAAGAUUGUACUUGACAUGCAUUAAAAAAAUGGAUGACCCAGGAGACGGUUGGGCCAUAGGCUUUGGCGGACAAGAAGAAGAAUAAGUAUUCAAAAUAUUGUCGUACAAGGCCAAAACAAUGUCGUUUGCAGUUGGUCUGACUUGUUGUGUUAUUCGGUUCAUGGAGGAUUCUCAGGAGGUUGAGUACUUAGGAAUUUUCGCCAUCAUGUUCAAGAAUAUUAACAAUAGGGUGAUAGAAGUCUAUAACCCUAUUGUUAAUAUUCCUGAUCAUGACGGUGGUAAUACCAAAGCGCUUGACCUUCUGCGAAUCCUCGAAGAACAGAAUAACAUUACAACUAUGAUAGUCUUAAACGACAUCGUUCCAGCCUUCGAAGUCAAAGAAAAACAACAAUUAUUGUGUAUUCCCAUUCAAUUUGUACUUCUUUGUCUCUCGUCUGCUAUGACAAUCUACAACUCCCUUCAUAAAGGAUAAGAAUUAUGCAACAGAAAGAACAGUUUAACAAUAAUUCUAUUUGCAUACUACAUAGAUCGAGUAUGAUACAAAAUUGUAUUCGAAUUUUGUUAAUGUUUCCAAUGUCUUUUUAUCAUGCAUCUCUUAAUAUGGAAUCAAUGAUAUGUCACCAUUAUAUAUUUUUUUGGU